rnacentral:misc_RNA from 1 species
UGUGGGAGCGAGCUUGCUCGCGAUGGCGGUAUGUCAGCCAAGAGCUUUUUCACUGACACUCCGCCAUCGCGAGCAAGCUCGCUCCCACA